UGCCUUUCCUCUGAGCCUGCAGACUGGCCGAUACUUGCUCUCCAGGUACUGAAUGUGUUUAAAGAGUUAAUGACGGUGGGUGGAGGGGAGCCAGUGACUGACUGUACCCUCCUCUUCCUUGUAAUUAUCUUAACUGCUCUGGAACAGCUGAAUGAAUACUGGAGACCCAUAGGUCAGCUGCUAGUGUGGUGUGUGGUUCUCUGGGGCGAGGCAGAACCCAAGUUACUAAUCUGGAAGCCGUCCAUGAACAAAUACCUUCAUCAUUUGUUGACCGAAGAAGUAUCAGAGCUUGGCUAUGACCCAUAUAACCCUGACCUUCCGAAGCCUUCGGUUGGGACUGAACAUGGCUCCCUGGGGGAUGUCCCAGAACCCAGCUCUGGCAUCUUGGAGCUGGAGUUAGUCAACCAGGCCAUUGAGGCUGUCCGGAAUGAAGUGGAACAAGAGGAAAAGAAAUACAAGGAGCUGCUAGAGACAACCAAGGAGUAUGGCGCCACAGAGACCUCACUUGUUUCACAAAGCCCCACUGGAGCUGGGGUGCCCAACCCAGACUCCUUUGCCACAUCCUUAGAAUAUAAUCCAGGUAGCUACAAUCUGUUAAAUAACAACACAGACUAUAACCCUACCCCCUUGGCUGCUGCUAAUAAAUGUAACAAGUAUACUUUGGAUUCUUUGGAGAAAUCCAAGGCUAAAGGUAACUCUCUGGAAUAUGUUCCAAAGUCUGUGAUCCAGCCCAAAAAGUAUAGCCGUGCUGUUCCCAACAGCAAAUACGUGAUUGACAAUUCUAAGCCGUCGACAGAUUUGGAAUAUGAUCCCCUUUCAAAUUAUUCAGCCAGGCUUUUAAAUAAGGGCAGUCCAAAGGACCAGAAAGGGGUCAAAAGGAGAAGGGACUCAAACCAAGAUGAGUCCUAUACUCCUUCGCUCAAGAAGCAUUGUGAUGUUUUUAGCAAUUAUGAAACAGAUGCCAGAUUUUCUGACUCAGAAGAUGAAGACCCCGGCUCAGAGAACCAGCCGAGUCCUGCCAGCCCCACAAAAGCCAGAACCAAUUCAGAGAGUCAGUCCAGCGGUGGGUCCUCCCCUGGCAAGGGAAAGCCUCUGGAAUCUGAGGAAAGUAGUUCAAGGGAGACGAAGGAGAUUGCUGUGCAAUAUGACAUGGGGGAUAUCCAGCGGCGGCAGAGUCCCAUUGGAAAACCCCCACCAGAGAAAAGUGGAAAAGGAAACAAACACUCUUCAGAAGGGAGAGAGAAAGUGGCAGAAGGGGACCUAAAGUGUAAGGGCAGCCUGAAGGACCACCGAGUCCAGAAGAGAAAAUCACAUGACCAGAAGAGCUCAGGCCAUCAGGAGGUGGAGAAUCAGAGAGAAAAAAGCAAAUCAUCUGAGAAAGACAAAGGGAAGAAUAAGGACAAAGCAAAAGGGAAAUUAGGGGAGAAAAAUCAUAGAGAGAAGAAACUCACUAAGGUCAAAAGUGAUGGACACAUAAGUAAGAUGGAGAAAUCCAAGUUAGAAAAGCAAGAGGUGGCCAGGAAAGAGAAGUUCUCAUCUGCCAUGUUAGUGGCCAGCUCAGGGAAAAGGAAGAAUGAUGGCCUUAGUAAGAGACCUAGCAUGGGGAAGCUGGGGAGCCAUAAGAAGGAGUCCAAGGUGAAGCCAGCAGAUCCUCCCAAUGGGAAAAACAUAUCCAGUAGCAAUAAGCUGAAAGACAAGAAAGGAAGCAAAUCCUUCUCCUCAGGUAAGCUGAAAGACAAGAAGUCCCUCUCUCUAGAUGAAGGCACUUCCCAGGGGUCUCCAAAGCCUAAGAAGAGGACAUUGAGCCAUAUUGACCUCUUUGGAGAUGAGAGUGGGGAUGAAGGGGAAGGGACAUCCCCAGUUCUUCCUGCCACCCUUCCAAGUCUAAGCUCAGACUCAGACUCAGAUGAUGGUAGCUGUAGCCUCCCGAAUGAGAGCAAGGGACCAAAGCGUCUCCGGGGUGCCCAGAUUGCUACCUCUUCCUCCUCAUCUUCUGAGGCCUCCGAUGACAUUGACUAUUCUGUCCUAGAGAAGGAAUUAGAUUACGAUUCAGACCCCAUGGAAGAAUGUCUUCGGAUUUUUAAUGAGUCUACAGAUGUGAAGACUGAAGACAAAGGAAGGCUCAACAAACAGCCAUCCAAGGAAGAGAAGAUUGAGGGAAAGUCAGAAGACAGUUUGACUACACUGUUUCCAGGCCAGAAGAGGAGGAUUUCCCAUCUUUCCAAGCAAGGAAAUGUCGAAGUCCCAAGCAAGCCAGUCAUUCGGCCCUAUCGCCCACCCACGGCUCAGGAGGCCUGCUACCGACGAACCCAGCUUGCCCAGAGACAGGCCUCAGACAUUCUAGCAGUGAGACUGGCAGCCCAGAAGCAUUCUGUGUCUCUGCCUGAGGAGAAGAAGAGAAUUGCCCACGUACCUAAUCCCCGAAUGGCCACUGCACUGGCGGCAGCAGCCAAUUCAGCCCCCACAGGUGCCAAGAAAAGUAAUUCUUUGAACACCGUUCAAGUCGCAAAUGGCUCUGAGCCAAACAUCUCCUUGAAGUCCCGAACAAUGUCUGGAAUGGCUUCUAAAACGAGCACGACAUCCGUGCAGAAGAGGAUAGCACAUGUGCCCUCCCUACAGAGUGUAAGCUUAAAUAGACCAGUCAUUCCAACUGAAUUUGGGGCCAAGGUUCCUACCAACAUCCGCCAACGUUAUCUUAAUCUUUUUAUUGAUGAGUGCCUGAAGUUUUGUCCAUCACCCCAAGAAGCUUAUGACAAGGCUUUAUCUGAGGAGAAGGUGGCCUAUGAACGGAGUUCAAGCAAGAAUAUCUACCUGAAUGUGGCUGUCAAUACCCUAAAGAAGCUAAGGAGUUUAGGACCUGGUUCUGUACAAUGUGUAAACAUUCUACCCGCUGGGUGUGACUCCCCCAGUGGUGAGAGUACUAGAUCAGGUUGUUCCUCCUGCCCCCCUGCAGAGAACAGCAAUCGGAAGGUGGUGUCUCAUGAAGCCGUUCUGGGGGGGAAACUGGCCACAAAGACAAGCUUUACACUGAAUCGAUCGGGUAGCCUCCGAGCAGAAGAUUUGACAGGAGCUGCCUUGUACCGAAGAUUGAAGGAGUACAUUUUAACAGAGGACCAACUGAAAGAGAACGGCUACCCUCUACCCCACCCUGAAAAACCUGGCCGAGCGGUGGUCUUCACCACUGAAGAGAAGAAAACCACAGACUCGUCCUGCCGAAUUUGCUGUCGCUGUGGCACUGAGUACCUAGUCUCGCCCACCGGCAAUUGUAUCCGGAAGGAGGAGUGCUGCCAUCACUGGGGGAGACUGCGUCGACAGAGAGUGGCCGGUGGAUGGGAAACCCAGUAUAGUUGCUGUUCAGGAGCUGUUGGUUCUGUUGGGUGUCAGGUUGCCAAGCAACAUGUGCAAGAUGGUCGCAAAGAUAACCUUGAAGGGUUCGUGAAAACCUUUGAAAAACUUCCCUCUUCAGAUGGGUAUCCAGGAAUAUAUGCCCUCGAUUGUGAGAUGUGUUACACCAAGCAAGGCCUGGAGCUGACGAGAAUAACCGUGAUCAACUCUGAUUUGAAAGUUGUCUAUGACACAUUUGUGAAACCAGACAACAAAGUUGUGGAUUACAACACCAGGUUUUCUGGGGUGACAGAAGAAGACCUGCAGAAUGCGUGUAUAACCCUUCGGGAUGUCCAGGCAGUAUUGUUGAACAUGUUCAGUUCAGACACCAUCUUGAUAGGACACAGCUUAGAAAGUGACUUAUUUGCUCUCAAGCUUAUUCACACCACAGUAGUGGACACAUCAGUGGUCUUCCCUCACCGCCUCGGACUCCCCUACAAGAGGGCACUGCGGACGCUGAUGGCCGACUACCUCAAGCGUAUUAUCCAGGACAAUGUGGAAGGCCAUGAUUCAAGUGAAGAUGCCAGUUCUUGCAUGGAACUGAUGAUUUGGAAAAUCAAAGAAGACUCAAAAGUCAAGCGAUGACUCCUCUCUCCCCCCAUUCCUUUCCCCUUUCCUCCUUAACCCUCUCUAUCUUCAUCCCCUCCAUCACCACCCCAGUCCCCUCACUUCCUCCAAAGCAGUGCAAUAAAUCCUCAGAGUUAACACUGUUCACCUUGCAAACAACAAGAUCCUCCCCUGCCCACCCCCUACCAGAGCCCCACCCUCCUUCCCUCCCUGCCCCUGCUCCCCCCUUAGCCCCAGCCCAGCAGCAUGCUUUACCCUGGCGUGUCUGUGCACUUUGGGGUGCUCGUGGAAUCUAAAGACUUGUGCCAGCUCAGCACAAGGGGCUGGGCUCCCUGGCUCCUGUACCUCUUGUCUCCAUCAGAUGAGCAUUUCUGAUUCUUGCCUUUCCGGUCCCACAAGGUCAUGUUGAGCUGCACACCCAGAACUAGGUCCUAAUUCUCUGCCCCAGAGGCAGUUUGAUCAGAAUUGCACAGCAUCUGUCUGCCUGCCUGUCGCUGCAAGGAUCUGGUGCUGCGCCACCCUUGGGGCUGGUGAAUGUUUGGAAGAAAAUCUGACAGGGCCCUGUCCAGCUCCUGAGGGAAAGAGCAGGAUACCAGCAGGAUGACAUUUCCUAGAGGGCACAGGUCACAUUCCCUUGAAGCCAACGUCGAGUGAGGCAGCUCUCCAUGAUGCUACCCCCUAGCCACUGUCCUUGGGGGAAAGAAGCCACUGGUGUCUUAAACACGUUCGUCCCCUCAUGGGACAGGCUGCACUGCUGGAAUCCCAAGGAAGGCCUAAGCCCCUGGCUGGUAUGGAACUUCUGAGCAUGCCACAUCCCACCUUCCCCAGGAACCCCAAUUCCCUGUCACAUGCAUAGGGACCUCAGCCUUGUUCUGGGUUUUGUAUCUUGGCCCCUUCCCCUGGUUUGUUCCUCUUGGAGAAAAAGCGUCACCUCCCAUGGAGGGGGAUUGAACAGCAUGUCUUUUGGCGCAUUCUAGUACUUUGGCCCCUACACUGGGGCCUUUUCCCCUUCUGUGUCUUCAUGGAGAUGAACCAGCUGUGAUCUAGGCAUUCCCACCCUGAGCUCUGGGAGUGACCCAGGAGUCCUAGACACAGCUUCAGUUUGCUCAGCUGAUGAAAGUGGCCUGGGGUAGCAUCCUUGGCCCUUUUCCUGAACAUCAGCGUCUGGUGUGGCACUGGAAUCAGUGACAUGGAAACAUCGGCCUGUUCUUUUGUAACUUUUUUUCUUAUUUCCACUGAAUUUAUGGGGUUUGUUUUUAUUAAGGGAAAUUUCCGCAAGGCUGCAUAGGUACUGUUCUCCACUGCCUAGUUUUCUUCCCUUUCCCUCUCAGCUGGAACAAAAUAAAUGUUUGUAUAGAUUUCAGCUUUUGUACAGAUGUCAUUGGUGACUGAAUGAACAGGUUAGAAUCACAUGGCAUCAGCUUUCGAAUGGCUUCCAUGGCCAUGGACCAUUUGCCAUGGGAGAAGGUCCUGGAGUUCAGCCAUGUGCUCCCCUUCCAGCACUGAGAUAAGAAGAACCCUCUUUUGCCUUAAUGAUAACCAAGACAUGGGAACAGCGUAGGGAUCCUGGGGUUUUGUUCGUCUUCUUGUUUGUUUUUUAAGGGAAAAAACAAACAGGAUCCACAUACUCCAGGAGAUUGGCCAUGGUCCAUCUCUCUGUGUGGCACAACUUGGUGGGGGCAUGGAGGACCAGAUGAAGCCCUGUGGGCACUGGCUAGCCUGAGGGGCUCAAUUCACUCUUUCUCCUUAGGGCCCUGCACAAGGCCCUUGGUCCAGUGUCAUCAGUGUUGUUCUUGACAAAAGCCACUACAUUCUGGACCAAAGUUGUCCAUGCACUUCCUUCCAGCAUGGAGCGUAUGAUUCUAGAGGCUUUUAUUGAUCCUUUAUUCAAUUGCUUCCUCUCCCCAGGAGGAGAGAUGGAUGCAGGUAUCGUUCUGUACCAUAUGUGAAAAUGACUGUUUGCCCUCUAAGCAAAACACUGUAAAUCUGAUCCAGUUUUCCCAUUGGCUUGAAUUAUCUGGAGGGGUAUGUGUUCCAAGGUUGGCUGUUUAAUGUGCUGGGAGUUACUGUGUGGAUGAGGGGAUAGAGUCUCUUCAUUUAGGAGGGUGGUAUCUCAAAUCUGUUUCUUUUUCUUUUUCUUUUUUUUUAAGGGAAAAUUAGACACUCUCCUCCUUCAGCUCCCACCAUGCCACAUCCUCUGCCCUGAAUCUGUUUUCCCCAGUGACUGUUCUGUAUCUCUGAUACCAAUUUAAAAAAAAAAAAGUAAGGAGAGUAGUAGCUGCCAUCAUCC